rnacentral:rRNA from 1 species
AACGAACGCUGGCGGCAGGCUUAACACAUGCAAGUCGAGCGCCCCGCAAGGGGAGCGGCAGACGGGUGAGUAACGCGUGGGAACGUACCUUUCGGUUCGGAACAACUCCGGGAAACUGGAGCUAAUACCGGAUAAGCCCUAACGGGGAAAGAUUUAUCGCCGAAAGAUCGGCCCGCGUCUGAUUAGCUAGUUGGUGAGGUAACGGCUCACCAAGGCGACGAUCAGUAGCUGGUCUGAGAGGAUGAUCAGCCACACUAGGACUGAGACACGGCCCAGACUCCUACGGGAGGCAGCAGUGGGGAAUAUUGGACAAUGGGCGCAAGCCUGAUCCAGCCAUGCCGCGUGAGUGAUGAAGGCCUUAGGGUUGUAAAGCUCUUUUGUCCGGGAAGAUAAUGACUGUACCGGAAGAAUAAGCCCCGGCUAACUUCGUG